UAAGGAAUAUUGCGCAAUGGGCGACAGCCUGACGCAGCGACGCCGCGUGGGGGAUGAAGGUCUUCGGAUUGUAAACCCCUUUCGGCAGGGAAGAUGGAACGGGUAACCGUUCGGACGGUACCUGCAGAAGCAGCCACGGCUAACUUCGUGCCAGCAGCCGCGGUAAUACGAAGGUGGCAAGCGUUGUUCGGAUUUACUGGGCGUACAGGGAGCGUAGGCGGUUGGGUAAGCCCUCCGUGAAAUCUCCGGGCCUAACCCGGAAAGUGCGGAGGGGACUGCUCGGCUAGAGGAUGGGAGAGGAGCGCGGAAUUCCCGGUGUAGCGGUGAAAUGCGUAGAGAUCGGGAGGAAGGCCGGUGGCGAAGGCGGCGCUCUGGAACAUUUCUGACGCUGAGGCUCGAAAGCGUGGGGAGCAAACAGG
rnacentral:rRNA from 3 species